UCAGAGGAUUUUCUAAAAUCCAAAAAGACAGAUUGUGAAAUGUUA
rfam:Cariama cristata contig48209, whole genome shotgun sequence.